UACAGAGGGUGCAAGCGUUAAUCGGAAUUACUGGGCGUAAAGGGUGCGUAGGCGGGUCUUUAAGUCAGGGGUGAAAUCCUGGAGCUCAACUCCAGAACUGCCUUUGAUACUGAGGAUCUUGAGUUCGGGAGAGGUGAGUGGAACUGCGAGUGUAGAGGUGAAAUUCGUAGAUAUUCGCAAGAACACCAGUGGCGAAGGCGGCUCACUGGCCCGAUACUGACGCUGAGGCACGAAAGCGUGGGGAGCAAACAGG
rnacentral:rRNA from 1 species